UGGGUACAUUAAAUAAAAACUUGUUGAAUUGAAAUGUUUAAUAUGCAAAACGCUGGCGGCAGCUAUGCAAUAACCAAUCAGCUUUUAGUCGAUUUGCGUGCAUGUCACUCAAUCGAGAUAUUCAGACAAAAAAAUUAGAAUAUGCGAAAUUCUUUAGAACCAGCGGAUGCUUCAAUGAAGAAGCCAAUGCAUAGAAGAAAAAAUGCUAUGGAGAACUAAAAGAAAACUUUACAAUCUGUAAACACGAUAAGCAAAACGCACGGGAAAAAUUAGAGUUGUUGAUGUUUUAUGUGUUCUCGAAAAUUUUGCACAAUGAUUCUCAUGUUACAAAAAUACUGGGGCCAGCGUAGCCGGAGUUGGACUGAGGAAGGAUAUUUUUUGAAGCGCGGCCGAAGUUCAACUUUGGCCCCGGCUCGUUGCCGACAAAGACGCUGGAAAUUCGUUCGAACCGCUUGAUAUUUGCAAUUCAAAAACGUUUCCGAAUGCUCAUCACAUCUUACACGUGAAUGUUCUUUUUCAACAUUGCGUCGUUUCAAAAAGUAGGUACUUAAGAUUAUUGAUAACUGAGGGUCGAUUAAACUGACUGACCGCGCUUAACAUUCAUGGAGAUCUUAACGUCCUAGAUGUGGUGGAAGAGAUAAUCUGUUGACCCGGAAGAGAUAAUCUGUUGACCGAUGACUAAACGCUUUUGAUAUUCUCACAGUAUUUAAUACAUUUUAUAUAGCUUUUAUUUCAUUUUUAUGU